GGAGAGUGCUGUGGCCGCACCAGCAGCCACCCUGGUGUCUUUGUAAGAGAGAAGCAGCUCACACGAUGAAGAAGGUAGCAGCCGGAGGACUUUAGAUUCCUGGCAGACACCUGUGACUGAAAGAAGAAGAGAUCAUGGUCCCCUCUCACGAUGGAUACGGAAGAUGCUGCUGGGGGAGGCUAAGAGGACACUGACACCCAGAAGGGAGGAGACCAAACUCCUACUUGGAGGUAUCAUUUAAAUCACAUGAUCAUCUAAAGAAGGAAGGCAAAUGCAGGCUCCAUAGAGUCAAGCCAGGCUCUAAGGAACAAGUAGGUCACCUGGGUUGAUGGUUAGUUUUGUCAACUUGACAGAAGCUAGGGGUCUAGAUUCUGGAAAGGGAGCCUCAGAGAGGGAUUGUCGACAUCACUUUGGCCUUUGGGCAUGUCUGUGGAAGGUUACCUGUUAUUUUUUUUUAAGAUUUGUGGUGGGUAUGAGCAUGCACGCACAUGCACCUGUGUGUUGAUGCCCACGGAGGCCAGAAGAGGGCGCUGGAUCUUCUGGAGUUGGAGUUACAGGUGGUCGUGUGCCAUCUGACAUAGGUACUAGGAACCAAACUCGGGCCCUCUGAAGAACAAAAGGUGCUCUUAACUCUUUUUAAAAAGUAUUUAUUUAUUUACCUAUUUUUUUUUUUUGACGCAGGAUUUCUCUGUGCAGCCCUGGUUGCCCUAGAACUAGCUCUGUAGGCCAGGUUGGCUUUGAACUCAGAGAUCUGUCUGUCUUCCUCUGCCUCCUGAGUGCUGGGAUUAAAGGCAUGUUCCACCACACUCAGGCUUUAAUAUUCAUUUUAUAUCUCUGAGUGUUUUACCUACAUAUAUGUGCAUGGUGCAAGUGCCCACAGAAUUCAGAGGAGAUAGAUAGAUAGGUAGAUAGAUAGAUAGAUAGAUAGAUAGAUAGAUAGAUAGACAGACAGAAUGGAUAGAUAAGAUAAAUAGGUAGAGAAGACAGGCAGACAGACAGACAGAAAGGAAGAUGGAGAGAGUAGUCAAACAUCAGCACACAUUCAUUAAUCCAUCGGUCACUGUUCACUGACUUCCCGCAACAAUAGACUGUAACUUGGAAUUGUGAGCCAAAUAAAUAUUGUCUCCCUUAGGUUGGUUUUGUCAGGGCGUUUUAUCACAGCAAACAGGAAAUGAAACUCAGACACCCGGGAUUUUUUUUCUUUUUUGGGAUUUUGUUAAAUGCAAAAACAAGAGUCUUUAGCUCUGGCUAAGACCCAGGAGUGUUCAUCCCUGGGGCAAGAAUUCUUGGGCAGGAGCUUUAUGGAGGAAGAGCUCUCUGGAGAAACCCGUAAGGGGAAGGGAGUUGGGGGAAAUGUGGCUUUAGGAGUCCAGCCUCAGUCCAACUGCAUGGAGUGCUCUGGAGAAGUCAACCCCAUGGAGGUGGCUUCCCACAGAGGAACAAGGCUGCUGUUGUCUUUCAUUAAUCCAGUCACUGGACCUAGGAAAGGUCACACGCUCCCGUAUUCUUAGCCAGCAGCAAGCUUUAGAUAAAGCUGUGGGUAUGGACCAUUUAUUGUCAAUAUGAACAGCAGCUACCGGUAGGAGUGUGGCUCGUGCGUGACACAGGUCUGGUAGGACACCUGCAGCUUCCGUUCUGACUAUGACACUUAGUCAGUGUUAGGAGUCACUCCCAUUCCAGAACCAGGUUCCUCCCACCUUCAGUGAUUCAGGGCUAAAGUCAUGUGAUCACUUUAGGCCAAUGUGACAUAUUUCACAUCGCCACUAUGGGCAAGCCCCAUUCUCCCCUCCGCCAUAACCUCCCACCCCUGCAGUCAUGGCCUGUUUUCUCCUAAUCUAUCCCCCCUGCCGCCCCCCCCCACACACACACUCAGAAGUGGCCUUUCGUGACAGCACCUCCAAUACAUCUUUUGCAUGAGGUUUGCUGCACAGUGCAAUCUUUGUGGCAUUUCUCCGGCUUCAGAUCACUGCAAAAAUCAUAGUCAUCAAACAGUCCCUAGGGUACUUAGUUGUCUCUCACAUCUAUUUAUGAAGUGAUGCAGGGGGGACAGGCGAGUGUAGACAGAAGGAAUUAACUAGUUCGUACCCAGGCUCUCAGCUUCAUCGUUGUGUAGGACAUGGUUCCUUCAGUCUGUGACAAUCCUCCCUCCUCCCUCCUCCUUCCUCCCUCCUCCCUCCUCCCUCCUCCUUUCCUUCUGUGUCAUUGUUCUCUGAAAUAUAAGCUGUGGGCUGAAGAGAUGGCUCAGUGGUUAAAGCGCUCACCACAAGUAUAGGAGAUCCUCAAAAGCUCAUGUGAAUUCUGGGUAAGUACAGCAGCCCACCUAUAAUUCCAACCUUGGGUGGAGGCAGGAGAUUCCCCAGAGUGAGUUAGCCAUAGUGGUGAAUUUCUCUCAAUGAAUAACGUAGAGUAGUGACUAACGGUGACCCCAGUCUUGGCCUUGAGCCUCCACAUGCAACUCUCAACCCAUAACCCACCCCAGCAGGAGCACUAAAGCCGUAAGGGGUGUAGAAGGAACAGAGCUGGGAUCUGCAGAAUUCCAGAAUUUUCCAUCAGCAAUGCUCAGCAAAAAGGCCUUCUAGCCUUUGACUUCAUCAGAUCUCAUUAUUUUGGUAGAACUUAAAGGUUAAAAUACAUUUUUGAGACAGGAUCUCAGGCUGGAGAGAUGGCUCAGCCGUUAAAGGCUAGGCUCACAACCAAAAUAUAAGAGACAGGAUUUCAUCUCUGUAGUACUAGCUGACCCGGAACUCACUCUGUAGGCCAGAGUAGUUUAGAACUCACAGAGCCCCACCUACCUCUCCUCCAAGUGCUGGGAUUGCAGGCAUGCCAUUUCUGUUUUUAAAAAUACAUUUACAGAGAAUGAUUCAAUUAAUAGAUACAGGUUUUCUUAAGUCACGAGGAUGUAGGGAGGCACACCGGUGGCCAUGCAGGUAGGGAUUUCCUAGAUCAGGUUAACUGAGGUGGGGAAACCCAUCUUAAUUGUGGGUGGUACCAGGAGCAGGAUCCUAGAUUCCACAGAAAGGAGAAAGUGAGCUGAGGACCAACAUUUGCCUCUCUCUGCUCCUAACCACCAUUGUCCUGUAACAACCGCCUCACAUUCUCCGCCACAACAAACUAUUCCCCUUAAACUGUGAGCUCCCCCCCCCCCAAAAAAAGCCUUAAGCCAUCUUGGUCUCAGCAAAGAACAAGCAACUGAUCCAGUCAGCUUCAUGUUCCUGUAAGAAAUAGCUGAGAUUUUCAUCGUUUAGAGCAGGGCUGCUGUGGCUCCAGGCUUGAGAGGGUCCAGCCAAUGCCUGGCUGGCUGCGUUGCUUUGUAACUGUGGUAAGACUGCAAAAUCAUGGCGCCAUCAUGGCGCAUCAUGGCGGCAGCAUAAAACUUGCUUGUUUCAUGGCUGGAACAAGGUGGGAGGGGUGGCUGGAGUCACACCAUGCCCUUCAGGAGCCACCCAAGUCAUCUGGGAUGUACUCCCACACUCUCCCACACUCCCAACCCCACGCCCCACACAUCCAGACCCACACAUUAGGACCCAUCUCUUCCGUCUCUUAAAGGUCCCCAGUCUCUCAGUAGGGCCGCUCUGGAGAAACAAGGCUUUGACACUUGGGUGUUCGGGGAACAGCUAGAACCCUAACUAAAGCAACGGGGGUACAGUGAGAGGAUGAGGGGGCACGGGACAUCGCCCUGGAGAGGGGGCUUUGGGAGCUGCUCUGUUGUUCUCAGCCACGCUGCAGCGUUCACGAGGACGGGGCUGGGGCUCUUUGUCCCUGCCUGUUUAUGGCAUCUCAUGGUUUUUUCUCUGCUGCCUCUGAGGCCUGGAGAGCUAAGCCAGGCUCUGCUCUCACCUUGAUGGCAAUGAGAAGAAAGCAUGGCUGGCCAGAUACAGCUCCUGAGAGGCCCUACCCCAGCUCCUGGUGCCACUGGCUGACUGCCUUUCUGAUCACACCUCACGCAGCAGCAGCGCAUUCUCCUCCGUCACAGCUGGAAAGCAGCCCAGGCCUGGCUCCCCGGUCUCACUCACUGCCUCCUCACGCUGACUGAAGCCUGGCGUUACCCUCCCUCUGUGGAUUUUGUCUUGUGCCUCUCUCGGGGUAUUAAGCGGUAAAACGAAGCUCCCUGUAGGAGAAUUGCAGAACAGCGCAGGAAGCAGCAAAUUUGCUGGGAGGACAGACUCGGGCUUCCCUGGAGUCCUGGGAGGCACACAUUUAUGACUGACUCACUUCACAUGAGUUAGCGAGCUAUGGCAGUGGGAGGAAGAGGUGUCUAUGUAGAAAAGUGGCAAAUUUUUCGUUUGUGUUCCAAGCACUCAGGGGACCUCCUGCAAGUCAGGCUGGGUCUGAAUGAGCCCACUGUGUGUGUGUGUGUGUGUGUGUGUGUGUGUGUGUGUGUGUGUGUGUGUGUGUGUGCCUGCCAUAUAUGGAGAGGUGUGUAGUCUGUGUCUGCGGGGAUGUGGAGAACGUGUGUGGUAAGGUGGUGGUGGGGUUGCUAUGCUUCUGGUAUAUGUGACGUGUGGUUUGUAUGUAGUGAAUUGGAUAAGUAGUGGGGGAGAGGUGUGGUGUGUGAUCGCAUUAUUUGUCUUUGUGAAGUGUGUGUAACAUGUAGGAAGUGUGGUGUGUGUGAUACAUGUUUGUGCUGAGUGUCAUAUGUGUGAAUGCAUCUGUGGUGUGGGAUCUUGCACUUGGAGGCUAGAAACAGCUUGGGGGAGUCAGUUGUCUUCUUCUGCCAUGUCGUUUCUGGGGCUCUAACUCGGGUUGCUAGUCCUCUGUGGUGGUUUGAAUAUGCCUGCCCCACAAGGGGUGUGGCUUUUAGGAGGUGUGGCCUUGUUGGAGGAAGUACGUCACUGUGGGGGUGGGCUUUGAGACCGUCCUCCUAGCUGCUUAGAAGACAGUCUUCUCCUGUUUGCCUUGGGAACAAGAUGUGGAACUCUCAGCUUCUCCAGCAUCGUGUCUGCCUGGACACUGCCAUGCUUCCUGCCUUGAUGAAAUGGGCUGGACCUCUGAAAUCAAAAGCCAGCCCCAAUUAAAUGUUGCCCUUCCUAAGAGUUGCCUUGGUCAUGGUGCCUGUUCACAGCGGUGAAACCUUAACUAAGACACCCUUGUUGGUUUUCUUUGAGGCAGAGUCCCACAUACCCAGGGCUGGCUUGGGACAGCUACAUAAAGAGUUAUGAGGGGGUUGGGGAUUUAGCUCAGUGGUAGAGCGCUUGCCUAGCAAGCGCAAGGCCCUGGGUUCGGUCCCCAGCUCCGAAAAAAAGAAAAAAAAAAAAAAAAAAGAGUUAUGAGGAUGGCUGUCCGCCACGCCAGUGCUGGAGUUUUAGGUGGGUACCACUUUGCUCUCCGAGACUGGUUUGUAUUUCUUAAGCACGCAUCCUGAAGAGUCAUCCUUGUUGGAGCUUAUGUCAAAACCUCACCCCUUCUUAAAGCUGGAUAGCACUAAGUAUGCUGGCACGCUAUAGUGAUAUUCCACCAGUAUUCCAAAAUGCCUGAGAUAAUUAAAUUCACCACUUAUUUAUUUAUAAGCCUGCCUCAGUCUUAGGCUUGGAGGCCAUCUUAUAGUAAAGACACACUAGGUUCAUUCCUGUGUGUGAUUAAAUCUGUUCCUCACAUGUUGGCCUAUGUACAGCAUAUGUAUCUAUCUGCAUAGUAAAUGUAGCUGACCUGUAACCUCGCCUGUCCCAGGAAACAAUGACCAAUCUUUAUUUCCAAAAGUUAUUAUGACCACUAUUUUUUCAAGAUUUAUUUAUUUAUUAUUUAUAAGUACACUGUAGCUGUUCAGACAUACCAGAAGAGGGCAUCAGAUCCCAUGUGGUUGUGGGAUUUGAACUUAGGACCUCUGGAAGAGCAGUCAGUGCUCUAACCACUGAGCCAUCUCUCCAGCCCCCCCCCCUUUUUUUUUUUAAAGAUUUAACAACCACUAUUAUUAUGACCACUUUGCAACCAUGUCUUUGUUUCAGGGAGUUGUUCUGUUCUGUUCCUGUAACCCUACCUGUUGGUCUGCCAGAGUCCCCCAUUUGGAACCCCUACUCCUGGAGUACAAAAACUUUUAUCUUACUCAAGUCUGACCUCUUGAUCUCUACCUUAGGGGAAAGCAGCUUAUGUUCAGGAGUCAAAAAAAAAAUAGGAGGCAGAGGCAAGAGGAUCUCUUUGAGUUCAAGGACAGCCUGGUCUACAGUAUCAGAACAGCCAGGGCUACACAGAGAAACCCUGUCUCAAAAAAUAAGCAAAACAAAAUGAAGUUUGCUCUAAUUAAUUGCCUGAAUUAGCUAAUUUGGCCACGAUGAUUUGGGUAGGUGGUCUUUCUCCUCACAUCUGUGGGGUUAACAUUAUAAGAAAAGGGUUUCAUUUGCCUCAUCGUUUUGCCGAUUUUAGUCCAUGAUCAAUUUGCUCCAUUGUUUGGGACCUGCCAUUUAUCUGUCACCACAGAGGCCAAAGCAGAGAGAACCUACUCAAUGCAUAAUCCAGGGAAUGAAAGAGAAAGAGACUGGGGUCCCACAAGUUCUCUUCAGGAAUACUCCUGGAUGGUCUGCGUAUCUGCCAGUGACUUCACAACCUCCUGAUAUCACUACCCUGGGAACCAAUCCUUCAGUGCACAGAACCCCCAGGGGAGGAAACUGAGGUUCAGAAACUGUAAGUAAGAUGUACCCGUGCACACUCAGUGCACAGCAUUGGAAUAGAACCCAAGUAUCAGGACCCUGUACAAAUCUGCCUCGAGCCACACCUGACACCGGAAGACAUACAUCGGAGGUAAAUCGUUGUCACAGGCCUAUGGAUCACUGACUCUGGCUUUACCUGGGAGAUGAGUUUUCUACAGGCUGGUUCUGCAGCAGCCCUGCCCUCCGUCAGUUUCCCUUCUGGACACUCCCAGUGUGAUUCUGUUUAUUCACCUAAGAGUUUUUUUUUUUUUUUUUUUUGAGUUGAAGAGAUGGAUCAACAAUUAAAAACACAGGCUGCUUUUCCAGAGGGCCCAAGUUUUCUUUGGAUGGAUAUAUAUUCACAUAUAUUCAUAUAUAUUCAAACAUAUACAUUCAUUAUAUAUUCACACAUUUAUACAUUCACAUGGUGGCUUGCAACCAUCUCUAACUCUAGUUCCAGGGGUCCAAAGCAAAGAAAAUCAGUAUCUUAAAAGAACUAGAUAAAACCCCAUGUUCAUUGUAGCAGUUUCCACGAUAACUGUUACGGAUACAACCUAAUUGUUACCUAAUGAAUGUAUGGAGAAAAUGCAACACAUAUUUGCAACGGGCCAUUACUCAGUGUUUGUUUUUCCUUUUCCUGUGUGUGCAUAGUGUAUUUGGUGUAUGCAUAGGCAUAAGCACUCACACAAGUGCAUGUGCAUGAUUUUGCCUGUGUGGGUACUCGUGUAUAUGGAGACCCAAGGUUGACGUCAGGAAUCCUCCUGAACCAUUUUCCAUCUUAUUCAUUGAGACCAGGUUUCUUAAUCAAACCCAGAGCUUACUAAUAAGUGUACUCUUGCUUAGCUUGUUCUGGGGAUCCGCUUUCUUCCAAAGCUAGAGUCACAAAUGGGUCACUAUGCUCACCGAGCAUUGACCUGGGUUUCUGGGACUGCAAACUCCUGGGCUUACACUUACGUAAUAAAUGCUUUAAGCACAGCUAUCUUCAUGGCCUGAUCGGUCUUUAAGAUGAAGGAACCAUACCUGGGCAGUGGUGGUGCACACCUUUAAUCCCAGGAGGCAGAGGCAGGUUAAUCCCUGAGUUGGAGUCCAGCCUGGUCUACAGAGUGAGUUCUAGGACAGCCAGGGCUACGCAGAGAAACCCUGUUUCAAAGAAGGAACCUUGUCAUUUGCAAUAACCUAGAUAAAAAUGGAAGACAUUCUGCUGGGUGCUAUAGGCCAGACCCUGGAAAACACCGUGUGAUCUCACGUGUGGGAUCUGAAAAAUCAAAACCAAACCAAAACAAACAAAAAAAAACCCUGAAUUUAAACAGGAGCUGAAGCUCAGUGCAUAGAGCACUUAUCUGGGAUGCCCCAGGCUGCAGGUUAAAAAAGAGAGAGAGAUUUAAAGUAGAAUCCCCAGAAACAUAAAGCAGAAUGGUAACUGUGGGAGCCAGGGAGUAAAGACAGAGGGUCUGGUCAGAAGGUAAGGCAUUUCGGUUACGCAAGAUAAGUAAGUUCCGGAUUUCUAGUGUAGACCUGGAUGUUUUAUUCUGUAUUUCAUUGCCAAACAGAGUACUUGAGGUUGAAUAGCUAUAAAAGGAAGGUUUAUUGCACUCAUGUUUGUAUUGAUAUAUAUAUAUGUAUAUGUAUGUAUGUAUAUAUAUGUAUAUGUAUAUAUCACGAUAUAUAUAUAUCGUGAUAGGACAGAGGAAUAGGCAGAGUAGGUACAUGAAUAUGGGAAAGCGCUAAAAGGAGGCCCGUAUCUGUAACCACCUGCUGUGGAGGGAGGGGUGGUCCACAGAGAACUCUACUAACCUCUCUUAAUGACUCAGUUGCUUCCUUUCGGUCCUGCUGGCUCUCAGCACCGCUCCACUAGGGACCACAUCUGAGCAUGUGUUUUGAAGGCAAGAAAGCAGAGACACACUCGAGCAGUCAGCAGUGCUGUGUGAGGUAAACGUGAAAUUUAAGGAAGUCUCUGGUGAGUUGGUAGGAAGGGCGGCCCACACCUACAACCCCAGCUCUUAAGAGGCUUGAGUCAGGAGGAUCAGGAGUGUGGCUCACCUGGUCCAUGGAGUGAAACCCUACCAAGGGGAAAAAGAAAAGGAAAAGAAGAAUGUUCUUUUAGAUAGUAACUAUGGGAAGUGGCGGAUGUGUUAGGUAGCUUGAUUGAUUAUCAAUAAUUCCUAGUGUGCAUGUGUCUGUUGAAACAUCAAAGGUAUACAGUAAAUAUAUACACAAUUUUUAAUUUGUCAAUUAUUUGUCAGUAAAGCUGGAGAAUUUCUAUAUAAUUAUUUUCCAGCACAAAAGUAAAUGGUUUUUUUUUUCUCUUGAGACAGGGUCUCAUGUAGUCCAGGCUAGCUUUAUGUAUUUCCCUUAUGGAGUCAGGGAUAGCCUUGAGUUUCUGAUCCUCCUGUUUCCACCUUGCAAGUGCUGGAAUUGCAGGCCUGAGCCACCCCUGUUUGAACCCAGGGUUUCAUUCACGUUAAGCAAGCGCUCAACCUUACACUGCCAGCCUCCAAUGAUGCUUUUUUUUUUUUUUUAACAAAAGAGUUUGAUAUUUCUAGAAACUCUGGAGCUGGAGCUUCAGCACAUUUUUCUAU